rnacentral:rRNA from 1 species
GACGAACGCUGGCGGCGUGCUUAACACAUGCAAGUCGAGCGGUAAGGCCCUUCGGGGUACACGAGCGGCGAACGGGUGAGUAACACGUGAGCAACCUGCCCCUGACUCCGGGAUAAGCGGUGGAAACGCCGUCUAAUACCGGAUACGACCCGCCACCUCAUGGUGGAGGGUGGAAAGUUUUUCGGUCAGGGAUGGGCUCGCGGCCUAUCAGCUUGUUGGUGGGGUAACGGCCUACCAAGGCGAUUACGGGUAGCCGGCCUGAGAGGGCGACCGGCCACACUGGGACUGAGACACGGCCCAGACUCCUGCGGGAGGCAGCAGUGGGGAAUAUUGCGCAAUGGGCGAAAGCCUGACGCAGCGACGCCGCGUGGGGGAUGACGGCCUUCGGGUUGUAAACCUCUUUUACCACCAACGCAGGCUCGAAGUUCUCUUCGGGUUGACGGUAGGUGGGGAAUAAGGACCGGCUAACUACGUGCCAGCAGCCGCGGUAAUACGUAGGGUCCGAGCGUUGUCCGGAAUUAUUGGGCGUAAAGAGCUCGUAGGCGGCGUGUCGCGUCUGCUGUGAAAGACCGGGGCUUAACUCCGGUUCUGCAGUGGAUACGGGCAUGCUAGAGGUAGGUAGGGGAGACUGGAAUUCCUGGUGUAGCGGUGAAAUGCGCAGAUAUCAGGAGGAACACCGGUGGCGAAGGCGGGUCUCUGGGCCUUACCUGACGCUGAGGAGCGAAAGCAUGGGGAGCGAACAGGAUUAGAUACCCUGGUAGUCCAUGCCGUAAACGUUGGGCGCUAGGUGUGGGGACUUUCCACGGUUUCCGCGCCGUAGCUAACGCAUUAAGCGCCCCGCCUGGGGAGUACGGCCGCAAGGCUAAAACUCAAAGGAAUUGACGGGGGCCCGCACAAGCGGCGGAGCAUGUUGCUUAAUUCGACGCAACGCGAAGAAUCUUACCAAGGUUUGACAUCACCCGUGGACUCGCAGAGAUGUGAGGUCAUUUAGUUGGCGGGUGACAGGUGCGUGCAUGCUGUCAGUCAGCUCGUGUCAGUGAGAUGUGAGUUAGUUCCAGCACGAGCGCACCUUGUUCAUGUUGCCAGCUACGUUAAUUGUGGGGACUCUAUUGGGGAUGAACCUGGCC